rnacentral:rRNA from 1 species
CCUACGGGGGGCAGCAGUGGGGAAUAUUGGGCAAUGGGCGCAAGCCUGACCCAGCAACGCCGCGUGAAGGAAGACGGUCCUACGGAUUGUAAACCUCUUUUGCCGGGGAGCAACGGGGUCCUUGCGAGGGCCCGAUGAGAGUACCCGGAGAAAAAGCAUCGGCUAACUCCGUGCCAGCCGCCGCGGUAAUACGGAGGAUGCGAGCGUUAUCCGGAUUUAUUGGGUUUAAAGGGUGCGUAGGCGGGCUGGUAAGUCGGCGGUCAAAUGUCGGGGCUCAACCCCGGCCUGCCGUUGAAACUGGCGGCCUCGAGUGGGCGAGAAGUAUGCGGAAUGCGUGGUGUAGCGGUGAAAUGCAUAGAUAUCACGCAGAACUCCGAUUGCGAAGGCAGCAUACCGGCGCCCGACUGACGCUGAGGCACGAAAGCGUGGGUAUCGAACAGGAUUAGAUACCCCUGUAGUC